UACGAAGGGGGCUAGCGUUGCUCGGAAUCACUGGGCGUAAAGCGCACGUAGGCGGAUUGUUAAGUCAGGGGUGAAAUCCUGGAGCUCAACUCCAGAACUGCCUUUGAUACUGGCGAUCUCGAGUCCGGGAGAGGUGGAGUGGGAACUGCGAGUGUAGAGGUGAAAAUUCGUAGAUAUUCGCAAGAACACCAGUGGCGAAGGCGGACUCACUGGCCCGGUACUGACGCUGAGGUGCGAAAGCGUGGGGAGCAACAGGG
rnacentral:rRNA from 1 species